GACGAACGCUGGCGGCGUGCUUAACACAUGCAAGUCGAACGAAGAGCGACGGAAGCUUGCUUCUAUCAAUCUUAGUGGCGAACGGGUGAGUAACGCGUAAUCAACCUGCCCUUCAGAGGGGGACAACAGUUGGAAACGACUGCUAAUACCGCAUACGAUCUAAUCUCGGCAUCGAGGAUGGAUGAAAGGUGGCCUCUACAUGUAAGCUAUCACUGAAGGAGGGGAUUGCGUCUGAUUAGCUAGUUGGAGGGGUAACGGCCCACCAAGGCGAUGAUCAGUAGCCGGUCUGAGAGGAUGAACGGCCACAUUGGGACUGAGACACGGCCCAGACUCCUACGGGAGGCAGCAGUGGGGAAUCUUCCGCAAUGGACGAAAGUCUGACGGAGCAACGCCGCGUGAGUGAUGACGGCCUUCGGGUUGUAAAGCUCUGUUAAUCGGGACGAAAGGCCUUCUUGCGAAUAGUUAGAAGGAUUG
rnacentral:rRNA from 1 species